UAGGGAAUCUUCCGCAAUGGACGCAAGUCUGACGGAGCAACGCCGCGUGAGUGAAGAAGGAUUUCGGUUCGUAAAACUCUGUUGUUAGAGAAGAACAGCGCAUAGAGCAACUGUUAUGCGUGUGACGGUAUCUAACCAGAAAGCCACGGCUAACUACGUGCCAGCAGCCGCGGUAAUACGUAGGUGGCAAGCGUUGUCCGGAAUUAUUGGGCGUAAAGCCAGCGCAGGCGGUCAAUUAAGUCUGAUGUGAAAGCCCCCGGCUCAACCGGGGAGGGUCAUUGGAAACUGGUUGAGUUGAGUGCAGGAGGGGAGAGUGGAAUUCCAUGUGGAGCGGUGAUAUGCGUAGAUUUAUGGAGGAACAGCAGGGGAGAAGGCGACUCUCUGGUCUGUAACUGACGCUGAGGCUCGAAAGCGUGGGUAGCAAACAGG
rnacentral:rRNA from 1 species